CCUACGGGUGGCAGCAGUGGGGAAUAUUGCACAAUGGGGGAAACCCUGAUGCAGCGACGCCGCGUGAGUGAAGAAGGAUUUCGGUAUGUAAAGCUCUAUCAGCAGGGAAGAAAAUGACGGUACCUGAGUAAGAAGCCCCGGCUAACGACGUGCCAGCAGCCGCGGUAAUACGUAGGGGGCAAGAGUUAUCCGGAUUUACUGGGUGUAAAGGGAGCGUAGACGGCAGCACAAGUCUGGAGUGAAAUGCCGGGGCUUAACCCCGGAACUGCUUUGGAAACUGUGCAGCUAGAGUGCAGGAGAGGUAAGUGGAAUUCCUAGUGUAGCGGUGAACUGCGUAGAUAUUAGGAGGAACCCCAGUGGCGAAGGCGGCUUACUGGACUGUAACUGACGUUGCGGCUCGACAGCGUGGGGAGCAAACAGGAUUAGAUACCCGAGUAGUC
rnacentral:rRNA from 1 species